AAAAGUUCGAGCUCCGUAUGUAAAUGUGGAGUAAUUGUCUUUACCAGCGUCCCAAAGAAAGCCUACAGAUGAUUGUAUAGAUUGAUUUGCUUUCUCUAUAAUGGUCACAUUGACUACGAUUUUAUAUCUGAAUAUAAAUUGGCUACUAACUCACAAAGCUUCAGACACUCCACAGCAUUAUAAGAGAUAUCUUCUAAUUUAUUUAUCAUUAUCGUCUUUACAAUCUUAUCCACUGUAUCUAUUUUAAAAGGAUUGUAAGCAUUCAGACGAUAAGUGUUCUGAUAUUUUGGCGCCUACAAACAUGUAACAAAUCAAAGCAAAUAAAAAUCCAUAUUCAUCAGAUUUACCAAAAAUUAGGUAUUACCAAAGACAUUGGUACUACUUGAAGUAGUAAAAUUAUAAUGAUCCUCACCUCUCGUUCGUUAUCGUAGUUCGUUAAAUGGUUAUCCAUAUCUAAUUGAGAAAAUAUAUAAAAUAUAACAAAUAGAGUAUAUGAUUAAAGAUAUGGCUACACCUGGCAAAUUGCAUCUGAUAACUAGCGCCUAUCUUAAUAAUUGAAUAAUUUUUCCUUGAAAUACUUGUCACUCAUAUCUAUACAAUCACGAAUGGUUACUUAGAAACCAAACUAAACAUGUUGAUUAAUCCAUUUUGUGCUAAAACAGGAUCAAUAAAGAUAGUCCAUCGAUACUGAAUAUUUGGAAAUAUAAACGAAAUAUUGUCCUCUUGUAUUGAACACGAUGUUAAUAUUAUUUUUUUGAAUAUAAAAAUAUAUUUCAAAUUUAUUUAAAUAUUUAUUUAUUUAAAAAUAUGUUUGUUAGAUAUUAUUUGAGUAUUUAAAUAUAUUUUUAAAUAACUUUUAAAAUCGUUUCCAUCAUAUGGAAUAGAGUAAGCAUAGAUAGCAUUCAACUCGGUAUCGAUCUAUGCGAUAUAUCGAACUAAUUUGAAUUAUCGAAAUAUUGCGCGCUUCCGUGGAGUUAAGUACCUGGGUCUUUUCACAUCAUUUCAAUCGGCGUCAUUCAGUUAAUUGAAAUUGUAUUGUAAAUUGUAUUAUUUAGUGCAAAAUAUUGUUCCUUUUUACAAAUAUUUCUUGUAAAAAUUUAUUUAUUGUGACAUAAGUAACUUUGCCAAUAUUUCCUAUUUGGCCCCCUAGCAUGGCCAUGGAGUAAUACUUAAUUGAACCAAAAACAAAAGAGUAAAGUAUACUUUCAAACGAUACUGUCCUUAUCAAUGAUGAAUUGUGUAGGUAUUCUGUUAACAAUUGAAUUUCAUUUUGAUAUUACGGAAUAACAUACAAAAUAUUAAAUAAUACAUAAAUAUUCAUAUAUUUUUUAUAAUAACAUAUUUAAAGUUUUACAUCAAUUUAAUCAGUUAAAUAAAAUAAAUUGUAUUAUACGACAGAUUGACAGUUCUUUGGCUUCGUUUUACAUUAUGUUACUUUUACAACUGUGAGUUUAAUCCAUAUGUAAUUCAAUAUAACAAUAUUUAAAAUUUGCUCAUUAGUUGAAUACAUACAAAUUUCAUAUCACUUAUAGAUAUUAUACAUGUGUAA